AUUGAACGCUGGCGGCAGGCUUAACACAUGCAAGUCGAGCGGAGAUGAGGUGCUUGCACCUUAUCUUAGCGGCGGACGGGUGAGUAAUGCUUAGGAAUCUGCCUAUUAGUGGGGGACAACAUUCCGAAAGGAAUGCUAAUACCGCAUACGCCCUACGGGGGAAAGCAGGGGAUCUUCGGACUUUGCGCUAAUAGAUGAGCCUAGGUCGGAUUAGCUAGUUGGAGGGGUAAAGGCCUACCAAGGCGACGAUCGGUAGCGGGUCGGAGAGGAUGAUCCGCCACACUGGGACUGAGACACGGCCCAGACUCCUACGGGAGGCAGCAGUGGGGAAUAUUGGACAAUGGGCGGAAGCCUGAUCCAGCCAUGCCGCGUGUGUGAAGAAGGCCUUUUGGUUGUAAAGCACUUUAAGCGAGGAGGAGGCUACCUGGAUUAAUACUCUAGGAUAGUGGACGUUACUCGCAGAAUAAGCACCGGCUAACUCUGUGCCAGCCGCCGCGGUAAGAC
rnacentral:rRNA from 1 species